GAAAUCUCAAGGUCCAAAUCAGGAGCAGAAGGAGAAAGAACACGAGCAAGGAACUUAGGACCGCGAGGGGUGCACCCACACACUGAGACAAUGGGGAUGUUCUAAAAAGCCUGGGAUUAAACUGGACUCACUGAACAUAGAGGACAAUGAGGACUACUGAGAACUCAAGAACAAUGGCAAUGGGUUUUUGAUCCUACUGCACGUACUGGCUUUGUGGGAGCCUAGGCAGUUUGGAUGCUCACCGUACUAGACCUGGAUGGAGAUCUCUGAGCUCUGAGGGGAAGGCCUUGAUGAAGACAUGCUGUUUAGGGUGGAGUGCUCCAAAGUCUCUCAUUCUCUGUCUUUGUUUAACUGUGGGUCUUUGUGUUAAUUACCACCUAUUGGAAGAAAAAGUUUCUCUGGAAAAUGGAAAAUGGUGUAGGAGCUUCUUCUGUUUGUGUGUUGCUUUCAUUGGUUGAAUAAAGAGACUGUCUUGGCCUUUUGAUAGGGCAGCCCCUAGAUGGGCGGAGUAGACAAAACAGAAUGCUGAAAAGAAGAGAAGUGUGGCAGCUGCCAUGAAUCUUCGGCCUGAGACGGAUGUAGGUUAAAAUCUUGCUUGUAAGCCACAGUCACGUGGUGAUACACAGAUUUAAUAAAAAUGGGUUAAUCAAAAUGUGAAAGUUAGCCAAUAAGAAGCUAGAGCUAAUGGGCCAGAGAGUAAUUUAAUUAAUAUAAUUUCUGUGUCGUUAUUUUGGGUGUUAAGCUAGCCGAGCAGCCAGGAGCAGGGUGGAAAGGACAAAAAGCAGGCCCACAUCCUCCUUACUACAAUCAACUGUUUUAUAUAUGUAUAAAUAUUAUAUAUAAAGUGUUCAUGAAGUAUCUGUGGGAAGUAUCUCCUUAAAUAAUAUUUUUUCUAACAGCUUGGUCUAAAUAAGCAAAGGCAACACUAUCUUUGAAAAUAUCCAUUUCCUUAGUUUUCUCUUAAGGCUAAAUAUUUACCUUAGGAAAGAAACUUCAUAUCAAUAAUAAUUAUUCAUCAGGUAUUAAGAUGGAGCAGAGAAAGGUAUGUUAAAGUAACAAACAUAUUUAUUUUAAUUAAGGACUUUAGUAACAAAUUAACUUGAGCCCAAUCAUUACAUGUUGACAAAGCAAUGUGAGUAUAGCAUUGCUCCAGGUUAGAGCAGGGUUUUCCCACUAAGCAAUUGUCCCUGCUGUCAGACAUUGUAAAGGUCAUGCAAACAGGUCCCCACCCCUUCCUUUCACAAAGUGCUGUGUCAUUGUGAUACCUGAUCACAGAAGGACUCACCCUUAGUUUCACUGCUCACAAUGCCAGCAAGUGAAAAUCACUAGCUACCUAAUUCUUGACCUUGAAGCAAAGCUUGUUCAAGGAAAGCUGAAAGUCACUUAGUAUUAAAUUGUUUUUAAUGAGGCAAAUGAAAAUUCUUAUUAUAGCAAACGCAUACUUAAAAAAACAUUUUGAGUAUAUGAAAUCUACAGGAACGCAUCCGUUUGAGAUCUUAAAUCCCAGGCCCAUCAGCUCAAACUGUUUACAAGGGGAAGCAUACAAUAAUAAACAACAAUUUCACUCUUCUAUUAUUAAACCCUGGAUUUUCUGUCUUUGUAAAGUGCAUUCCAGAAUCCUAGCUGCUGUUUUGAAUGGGAUACUACCUAUUUGAGUCAGAAUUUUGAGCUACUAACAGUUUGGGAACAUAUUGCUUGCAGUGAUGUAUCAUCAUAUACAAACACUAAACAUAAAAUAUAAUUAAACAGAAAAGACAAAGAAAGUAUCUUUCAAUAGAUUCAGAAAAAUGUACUUGAUAGAAUAUGGCAUUCUUUAAUGAUCAAAUACCUCAACAAAGUAAGUGUAGAAAAUUGUUUCCCAACACAUCAUACUGUAUGGGGAAAUGUGGAUUCUGUCCUUUAGAAGAAGCACAGGGAGGAAGUUCACUUCCACCUCUCUCAGUCUGUGUCAUAUUGGAAGUCUUAUCCAGAGAAUGGACAAGUGAAAUAAAUUAUUGGUUUUGAAGAAAAAAAAGUGGAAGUCAAAUUAUUUUCAUUUGUGAG